rnacentral:piRNA from 1 species
UGAAUCCUGCGUGCUGUNCAAAAAGAUGG